AUUUUAUCAUGGCAGUCAAGAGACUUUACCAUUACCCAGGACGUAACAUGGUAGAACUGCAGAAGGGAUGGUGGUUCUUAACCUUGAGAGAUGCAUGGUAGAUGCAUUUGUAAGUCAAUUGAUUUGGAAACUUUGGUAACCAGAGAAUUUUAUCAUGGUAGUCAAGAGACUUAAACCAUUAUCCAGGACAUUGUGUAGUGUUACAAGAAUACAUGGUGGUUCUUAACCAUGAGAGAUGCAUAGUGCAUUUGUAAGUCAAUUGAUUCUGAAAUUUUGGUAACCAGAGGAUUUUAUCAUGGUAGUCAAGAGACUUUACCAUUAUCCAGGACACUGUGUGGUGUAACUGUAGAAUACAUGGUGGUUCUGAUAACCAUUAGAGAUGCAUGGUACAUUUGAUGCAGAAAAUUUUAUCAUGGUAGUCAAGAGACUUUGCCAUUAUCCAGGACAUUGUGGUAUAACUGUAGAAUACAUGGUGGUUCUUAACCAUGAGACUUGCAUGGUGCAUUUGUCAAGCAAUCGAUUCUGAAAUUUUUGUAACCAUAGAAUUUUAUCAUUGUAGUCAAGAGACUUUACCAUUAUCCAGGACAUUGUGGUAUAACUGUAGAUUACAUGGUGGUUCUUAACCAGGAGAGAUGCAUGGUGCAUUUGUGAAAUAAUUGAUUCUGACAUUUUGGUAACCAGAGAAUUUAUCAUGGCAGUCAAGAGACUUUACCAUUAUCCAGGGCACUGUGUUAUGUAACUGUAAAAUACAUAGUGGUUCUUAACCAUGAAAGAUGCAUGGUGCAUUUGUGAAGGAAUUGAUUCUGAAAUUUUGGUAACCAGAGAAUUUAUCAUGGCAGUCAAGAGACUUUACCAUUAUCCAGGGCACUGUGUUAUGUAACUGUAAAAUACAUGGUGGUUCUUAACCAUGAGAUAUGCAUGGUGCAUUUGUGAAGGAAUUGAUUCUGAAAUUUUGGUAACCAGAGAAUUUAUCAUGGCAGUCAAGAGACUUUACCAUUAUCCAGGACAUUGUGGUAUAACUGUAGAAUACAUGGUGGUUCUUAACCAUGAGAGAUGCAUGGUGCAUUUGUGAAGGAAUUGAUUCUGAAAUUUUGGUAACCAGAGAAUUUAUCAUGGCAGUCAAGAGACUUUACCAUCAUCCAGGACAUUGUGGUAUAACUGUAGAAUACAUGGUGGUUAAUUCUUAACCACAAGACAUCCAUGAGUCAAUUGAUUUUGAAAUUUUGGUAACCAGAGAGUUUUAUCAUGGUAGGCAAGAGACUUUACCAUUAUCCGGGACAUUGUGGUAUAACUGUAGAAUACAUGGUGGUUCUUAACCAUGAGAGAUGCAUGGUGCAUUUGUGAAGGAAUUGAUUCUGAAAUUUUGGUAACCAGAGAAUUUAUCAUGGCAGUCAAGAGACUUUACCAUUAUCCAGGGCACUGUGUUGUGUAACUGUAAAAUACAUGGUGGUUCUUAACCAUGAGAGAUACAUGGUGCAUUUGUCAAGGAAUUGAUUCUGAAAUUUUUGUAACCAGAGAAUUUAUCAUGGCAGUCAAGAGACUUUACCAUUAUCCAGGGCACUGUGUUAUGUAACUGUAAAAUACAUGGUGGUUCUUAACCAUGAGAGAUGCAUGGUGCAUUUGUGAAGGAAUUGAUUCUGAAAUUUUGGUAACCAGAGAAUUUAUCAUGGCAGUCAAGAGACUUUACCAUUAUCCAGGACAUUGUGGUAUAACUGUAGAAUACAUGGUGGUUCUUAACCAUGAGAGAUGCAUGGUGCAUUUGUGAAGGAAUUGAUUCUGAAAUUUUGGUAACCAGAGAAUUUUAUCAUGGUAGUCAAGAGACUAUACCAUUAUCCAGGACUUUGUGUGGUUUAACAAGAAUACAUGGUGGUGUUCUUAACCAUGAGAUAUGCACGGUGCAUUUGUGUGUCAAGUGAUUCUGAAAUUUUGGUCACCAGAGAAUUUUAUGAUGGUAAUUGGUAUUUUUGACAAAGUUACAAGGAAGUCAGUUGGUAGUUGUCAUCUGGUGAAUGGAUGUAGCUUAAUUCAAACCAGAAUGGACGUACGCUAAGGCCACAGUUGGAUGCAAAGCAAAUCUGGUUCGAAGAAGUUCUUAUAGCGUCCUGAAGGCAAUCUGGGUAUUUUCUAAUGCUUCAUAUUAAUUAUUUUUAAAAUGAAAGACAUUUCUGUGAAAUUGGAAAGCUUGCCCGAAACUUGUUUGGAAAUGUGGUUCAAAUCAAGAAUUUUUGGUAUGUGUAUAAAGUAGGAAAAUCCGAUCCUGGUCACGAGUCUGCUGCCGAAGACCUGAAAUCAAUAACUUACCAUCAGCAAAAUACAAAAAAAAAUCCAGAAACAAUUCGAUAAAAUUGUCUUUCUAUAAAAAUUUGAGACCACAUGUAUCCAAUUAGGAACCAUCAACAAAUAGAUUUCAUCUUGUCAAACAUAAUGGGGGCAGUGUGAUAGCAUGGAUAAUAAAAUAAAUGGAUAGGAGUCUAGCUGACGUAAGCAAAAACAACCUAGUUGCAAUCUGUGACGUCACACGUAUUGCAAAGUUCUCGGCAUUUUUGUUGUUUCGCUAUACUUUCCGCUUUAAAAGAGUAUUGAUAUUGAAGCAUAAACUGGUCUAAUUGUUUUAAAAACAUGCCUAAGCCACGACAAAGUAUUCAAGGUAAAUGUUUUUCGUCUUUGUUUUGUAUUUUUUUUACAUUUGUAGCUACGAAAAUGGCGUCCCCAAUUUUAACGAAAUUUGGGAUGCAUUUUACACUGUUUAGUGCUUGAAAUAUUUGGUAAAAUUGACUGGGAAUACUUAGAGAUUUCAUCGUAGAAUGGCGUAGUUAUAUUCAUUUGCUUUUUGACUCAAAUGUUUAGCUGUAUUAUUGCUAAACAUGCCGUUUUUAAGAAUUUGGUUUGCAACUAAGUUUCAACAUCCAACCACGCCAUCAGCUCAUUGAAAACAUUAGGUCACGUCAGCUAGUUUCCUAUCCAUUUAUUUUAUUAUCCAUGGUGAUAGUUAGUACUUUUCUGAGUGACAUAUUAUUAAAUUCAUGUCCACAAUCAGGGCUGGGUAGGGCUUAAGUAAUUGUCGAACGUGUCUGCAAAUUAUGCAGGAUGAAAUCUAUUUGACGACAUUCCCAAACACAGACUGAAGCAGAUCCAUAUUUACCAACAGAGCUCGAUGCACAACUGGACUAAUAUUUUGGAAUAUAUAACUUACAUAUGCAAUCACACACAGCACAUAUCUUGUAAGUGGUAUUAUAUGGGGUGCUAUUAUAUGGGGUGGUAUUAUAUGGGGUCGUAUUAUAUGGCGUGGUAUUAUAUGGCGUGGUAUUAUAUGGCGUGGUAUGAUAUGGGAUGGUAUUAUAUGGGGUGGUGUUAUAUGGGGUGGUAUUAUAUGGGGUGGUAUUAUAUGCGUUGAUAUGAUAUGGGGGUGGUAUGAUAUGGGGGUGGUAUGAUAUUGGGGUGGUAUGAUAUGGCGUGGUAUAUCGCGUGGUAUUAUAUCGCGUGGUAUUAUAUGGCAUGGUAUGAUAUGGCAUGGUAUUAUAUUGCGUGGUAUUAUAUGGGGUGGUAUGAUAUGGGGGUGGUAUGAUAUGGGGUGGUAUAAUAUUGGGGUGGUAUUAUAUGGGGUGGUAUUAUAUGGGGUGGUAUGAUAUGGCAUGGUAUUAUAUCGCGUGGUAUUAUAUGGCGUGGUAUUAUAUGGCUUGGUAUUAUAUGGCGUGGUAUUAUAUGGCAUGGUAUUAUAUGGCAUGGUAUUAUUUGGCGUGGUAUUAUAUGGCGUGAUAUUAUAUGGCAUGGUAUUAUAUGGCGUGGUAUUAUAUGUCAUGGUAUUAUAUAUGGAGUGGUAUUAUAUAUGGGGUGGUAUUAUAUGGCGUGGCAUUAUAUGGGGUGGUAUGAUAAUUGGGGUGGUAUUAUAUGGCGUAGUAUUAUAUGGCGUGGUGUUAUGUGGCGUGGUGUUAUAUGGCAUGGUGUUAAAUGGCAUGGUGUUAUAUGGCGUGGUAUUAUAUGGCGUGGUAUUAUAUAGGGUGGUAUUAUAUGGGGUGGUAUUAUAUGGGGUGGUAUUAUAUGGGGUGGUAUCAUAUGGGGUGGUAAUAUAUGGGGUGGUAAUAUAUGGGGUGGUAUGAUAUGGGGUGGCAUGAUAUUGGGGUGGCAUGAUAUUGGGGUGGUAUGAUAUUGGGUGGUAUGAUAUGGGGUGGUAUGAUAUGGGGUGGUAUGAUAUGGGGUGGUAUGAUAUGGGGUGGUAUGAUAUGGGGUGGUAUGAUAUGGGGUGGUAUUAUAUGGGGUGUUAUUAUAUGGCGUGGUAUUAUAUGGGGUGGUAUUAUAUAUGGAGUGGUAUUAUAUAUGGGGUGGUAUUGUAUGGUGUGGUAUUAUAUGGGGUGGUAUUAUAUGGGGUGGUAUUCUAUGGGGUGGUAUUAUAUGUGGUGGUAUGAUAAUUGGGGUGGUAUUAUAUGGCGUAGUAUUAUAUGGCGUGGUAUUAUAUGGCGUACGUGGUAUUAUAUGGAGUGGUAUUAUAUAUGGGAUGGUAUUAUAUAUGGCGUGAUAUUAUAUGGGGUGGUAUUAUAUAGGGUGGUAUGAUAAUUGGGGCAGCACAUGAGCGAGCGAAGCCAUGUUGCGGCUCGCACAACGCCUUCGAACGGGAUUUCGAUUGAGCAAAAAAAUGAAAAAAAACACAUUGAACUUUACCUCUGCUGGUUAGAGCGAUGUAGUCCUUCUUAAUUCUACAAAAAAAAGCAAAGAAAAAACGUUUUAGGACGAAAAACGAACAUUUUGGCGCGAACUUUUCACAAGCAAGAAUGUCCAAGACUUUCGCAAAAUUUUACCUUUGUGGUAUGAUAAUUGGGGUGGUAUGAUAAUUGGGGUGGUAUGAUAAUUGGGGUGGUAUUAUAUGGCAUGGUAUUAUAUGGCGUGGUAUUAUAUGGCGUGGUAUUAUAU